rnacentral:tRNA from 1 species
GUCCAGGGGCGGGAAUCGAACCCACAACCUUCUGCUUACCGGGCAGGUGCCAUGUCCACUUGGCUACCCUGGA